GGGGCCGACUGGUUUUGACAGCGGGUUUUCGGGUAUGGUAAGCAUGUAGAGCGCUGGGAAACAGCUCUUAAAUCUCAUUUUUCACACUUUUUAAACGGCGAGAAUAACUACGCCCUAGCUGCAUAAUCUGAAUCAUAGUAAGAUUACGCCUCGGCCCGCAAGGCGGGCAAGCAGGAAGUCACUCGAGAGCCUUGGUUUACGGCAAUCGAUAUAGUGACUUCGUAAAAGUAAACCUAUCAAGUGUAGUGUCUAGAUACAUUUGAGACAUCUAAUUUAGAAUAAGGGACGCGUUGGUAGUUUUCGACCGGCAAAUUCACGAAAAUUUAAAUGGAAACUAAACAUGUAGAAAGCUGUGCAAGUGCACGUUUGGACGAGGGUUCGAAUCCCUCCGGCUCCACUU
rfam:Tnidentified eubacterium SCB49 1103407000322, whole genome shotgun sequence.